UUCUGAUCUUCGAAGUGGAGCUGCUGAGCAUCGAGAGGAGAUCCGAGCUCUGACGAAGAAGAAGGAGAGCUUUGAGAACGGUUCCAGGAGGUGCUGCGGCAUUAAGUGGAGACCAAGUGACACCUAAUGAAGAUUAAAAGGCAAAUGUGAGAGAAGAGUCUGCAAAGCUCCUGUUUUCCUUCUAGCAGUUUUGCUUUUUAUGCUCUGAUUCAUUGAAUUGAAACUGAGAAGAUGCAAGAACUGGCUGUUUGUACCAGCUAAGCUCUAGAGUGAGGGUUGACAGCAGCAGCUACGUCCUGUAUUUGACUGUGCUGUGCCGCCUCUUCAUCUCAUUUCAUUUUAAUUUUCUGUGAGCGGGUUUAUUCACAUCUGCACACCGUUUUUGUUAUUUGGGGAGUUUUGUUCAGAAAAUAAUUUAGUGUGAAGUGGGAGUUGGGUCAGACUAGGAUCAUUUUUUUUCACUGUAAGAAUUUGAAUUAUGUAAUAAAAUGUUUAUUAGUA